ensembl:lncRNA
CCUAUGGGUCCCUAUGCAUCCCUAUGGGGUCUCUAUGGGUCUUUGUAAGGUCCCAAUGGGUCCCUAUCGGGUCUCUAUGGGUCCCUAUGGGUCCCUAUGGUCCCCGUGGUCCCUAUGGGGUCUCUAUGGGUCUCUUAUGGGUCUCUAUGGGUCCCUGUGUGUCCCUAUGAUCUCUAUGGGUCCCUAUGGUCCCUAUGGGGUCUCUCUGGGUCCCUAUGCAUCCCUAUGGGUCCCUAUGGUCCCUAUGGGGUCUCUCUGGGUCCCUGUGUGCCCCUAUGAUCUCUAUGGGUCCCUAUGGUCCUUAUGGGGUCUCUAUGGGUCCCUAUGGUCCCUAUGCAUCCCUAUGGGGUCUCUAUGGGUUUCUGUGAUGUCCCAAUGGGUCCCUAUGGGGUUUCUGUGGGUCCCUAUGGUCCCUAUGGUCCCUGUGGUCCCUAUGGGGUCUCUAUGGGUCUCUUAUGGGUCUCUAUGGGUCCCUGUGUGCCCCUAUGAUCUCUAUGGGUCUCUAUGGGUCCCUAUGCAUCCCUAUGGGGUCCCUAUGGGUCUCUAUGGGUCUCUAUGGGUCUCUACGGGUUCCUAUGCAUCCCUAUGGUCCCUAUGGUCCCUAUGGGGUUUCUGUGGGUCCCUAUGCAUCCCUAUGGUCCCCAUGGGGUCUCUCUGGGUCCCUGUGUGCCCCUAUGAUCUCUAUGGGUCCCUAUGAGUCCCUAUGGUCCCUUAUGGGGUCUCUAUGGGUCCCUAUGCAACCCUAUGUGGUUCCUAUGGGUCCCUAUGUGUCCCUCUGGUCCCUAUGGGGUCUCUGUGGGUCUCAGUGGUGUCCCAAUGGGUCCCUAUGUGUCCGUGUGUCCCACCGUGUCCGUGCGUCCCGCAGUCCCCCCGCAGUCGGUGUCCAUCUCGGUGUCCCCGCCGUCCCCCCGUCCCGGCACUUUGGUGGAGCUGAGCUGCAGCACCAGCAGCGCCCGCCCCGCCCCCACCCUGCACUGGGACGUCAGAGGAACCACGUGGGCAACAACGGGUCCCCACUGCGCCCCAUAGCGCCCCAUAGCGCCCCACUGCGCCCCACAGCGCCCCAUAGCGCCCCACUGCGCCCCUUUGUCCCCAUUGUGUCCCAUUGUGUCCCACUGCGCCCCAUUGUGCUCCAUUGUGUCCCAUUGUGCCCCAUUGUGCCUCCAUUGUCCCCAGUGUCCCAUAGUGUCCCAUAGUGCCCAUUGUGCCCCAUUGUCCCCACUGUGCCCCAUUGUGUCCCAUUGUGACCCAUUGUGCCCCAUUGCACCUCCAUUGUCUCCACUGUGCCCCAUAGCGCCCCACUGCGCCCCAUUGUGUCCCUUUGUCCCCAUUGUAUCCCAUUGUGUCCUAUUGUGUCCCCAUAGUGCCCCAUAGUGCCGCAUUGUGUCCCAUUGUGUCCCACUGUGUCCCAUAGUGCCCCAUUGCGUCCCAUUGCGUCCCUUUGUCCCCAUUCUAUCCCAUUGUGUGCCCUAUUGUGUCCUAUAGUGUCUCAUUGUGUCCCACUGUGCCCCAUCGUGCCCCGCUGUGCCCCAUUCUGUCCCAUUGUCCCCAUUGUAUCCCAUUGUGUGCCCUACUGUGUCCUAUAGUGCCCCAUUGUGCCCCACUGUGUCCCAUUGUGUCCCAUAGUGCCCCAUUGUGUCCCCACUGUGUCCCAUUGUGUCCCAUUGCGCCCCACCCUUGCCCCAUUGUGUCCCUCUGUCCCCCAUUGUGCCCCAUUGUGUCCCAUAGUGCCCCAUUGUGUCCCCAUUGUGCCCCAUUGUGUCCCACUGUGUCCCAUUGUGCUCCAUUGUGUCCCACUGUGUCCCAUUGUGUCCCAUUGUGUCCCAUUGUGCCCCCAUUGCACCCAUUGUGCCCCAUUGUGUCCCAUAGUGCCCCAUUGUGUCCCAUUGCGUCCCUUUGUCCCCAUUCUAUCCCAUUGUGUGCCCUAUUGUGUCCUAUAGUGUCCCAUUGUGUCCCCAUUGUGCCCCAUAGUGCCCCAUUGUGUCC